rnacentral:rRNA from 1 species
UUGGAGGGCAAGUCUGGUGCCAGCAGCCGCGGUAAUUCCAGCUCCAAUAGCGUAUAUUAAAGUUGUUGCAGUUAAAAAGCUCGUAGUUGAAUUUUAGGCCUGGCCGGGCGGCCCGUCUUUGGCGAGUACUGUCUGUUGUUGGGUCUUCCUUCUGGUGAACCAGUAUGUCCUUUAUUGGGUGUGUUGGGGAGCCAGGACCAUUACCUUGAAAAAAUUAGAGUGUUUAAAGCGGGCUAUUGCUUGAAUAGAUUAGCAUGGAAUAAUAGAAUAGGACGUUGUGGUUCUAUUUUGUUGGUUUCUAGGACCACCGUAAUGAUUAAUAGGGAUAGUUGGGGGCAUUAGUAUUCAAUUGUCAGAGGUGAAAUUCUUGGAUUUAUUGAAGACUAACUAUUGCGAAAGCAUUUGCCAAGGAUGUUUUCAUUAAUCAAGAACGAAAGUUAGGGGAUCGAAGACGAUCAGAUACCGUCGUAGUCUUAACCAUAAACUAUGCCGACUAGGAAUCGGGCGUCGUUAUUUUAAUGACUCGCUCGGCGCCUUACGGGAAAC